ensembl:lncRNA
CGCUGGGCGGGCGCCGGGCAGCCGGCCGGGUCCCCCUUCACACACACAAGUCCCUCCAGGCCCCGGGCCGGGCACCGCGCAGCCCACCGCCGCAGCGCCCCUCGAUCCGCGCCGCCCGGCGCCGCAUUUUUCGCUCGGGGCGCCCCGCGGCCGCCGCAGCUUCUGCCCCGCCCGAGACAAAGGCCCGGAGGGUCGCUCGCUCAGCGCGUCCGGGGCCUGGGCCGCCCUCGCCGCCGCCGCUUUGUUCGCCCUGCCUUCGGGUUCAGCGCGCGGUGCCCGGCGAUCCGACUCUGCAGCUCGGCGGCUCCUGGGUGCUGGGGGCUCGGGGGCGCGGCCCUGGGCGGGGUAGGGGCGGGGCCAGCGCGCGCGCCUGGCGCCGCCCCCUCGUCCCCCACUUCCUGCCCCGCGGCAGCUCUCCGAAGUAGCGCAGGGCGGGGGCAGCGGCGCGGCCGCGGCCCCGAGCCCGCGGACUUUCUCCGAGAGGCACCAGGACUUUGGGGAACCUCUGCGCCCCGGGCGCGCGACCUCGCCUGUGGAGUGACGGCCGGUCGUGGUCUCUGCGCCCCUCCUGCGUUUCAGGAGGAGUUCGGGAGGUGGCCCUCGUCGCGCUGGGGACCUCUGCGUGGUCCUUCGGGCAGGACAGACCCUGGAGGGGACACAGACUAGGCGGACUCGUCCGAAGCCCUCUCGGUCCACGAAGCGACCCCCGGAGGAGAACUCGAGGCGGGAGGCACACGGGCGGGAGACUCGCCCAGAGCCCCUUCCUGUCCUGUGCCCUGGGCAGGGACCCGCAGGAAAGCCCCCGAUCGCGCACAAAGGCCGGGAUUCCCCUGUUCUGUAACCCAAAGGCUUCCACCGGCAGCUGCCCAGAGGGCAAACCCUGGCGUCGGAGAUGGAAUCUGUGACAUAUGCGUCGUGAGCGCGGCUGGGCUGUGUCGAGUCAGAGGACAGCUCAAGAAGAGGAGACACCGCUCCGGAACGUCCUGCCAGCAUCCACCCCUGCUCACACUCAGCUGCUUGCCGAGACGGCCUGCGGCACAACCCAGGAGGCACCAUUCCCAUCGUCCGUGCAGACAGCGCCCCAGGGAGGAGCCCACAACCUGCCAGUGGAUGGCGUCCUGGGAGGUUGCACUCGGGGCUUCCCAGGUGGCUCAGAUGGAAAAGAAUCCGCCUGUAAUACAGGAGACCUGGGUUCGAUCCCUGGGCUGGGAAGGUUCCCCUACAGGAGGGCAUGGCAACCCACUCCAGUAUUCUUGCCUGGAGAAUCCCCGUGGACAGAGGAGCCCAGCGGGCUACAGCCCGUGGGGUCACACAGAGUCGGACAUCACUGCGUGAGUGAGCACACGUGGCCCACCGUGACGGCACUUUUCCUCAGCAAGAGAGGCCUGUGAUAAGCGCUGGACGGUCCCCAGGAGAGGCAGGAAGCUGGGAGUCCCAGCCCAGUGGCAUGGAUGAAGCCCACAGGGCAGAGAGUCACCUACCUUGAAGUAGGGACAGAGGGUCACAGGCCCCCACUCUGGGCCGCUCGGCCUCCACCUGCAGCGCCCUGGCCCCCUCCAGUCUGUCCUCAGCAGAGACCCAGUCAAGGCUCGUGAGGCCUUGUCACGCUCCUGCCCAGACGGGGGGCAAUCGGAGGCUCCUCCUCACCACAGAGAAAAUCAGAUGUCUUCCCAGACAGGUCCCACGUGGCGUGGCUGCUCCCCAGAUGACCUCACUUCCUGCAGCUCCGCAGCCACACCCAGCGGGGCCCUCACCCCAGGGCCUUUGCACCUGCCGCCCCCAUGCCUGGGGCUCUUGCCCCGAUGGCCACAAGCAUGGCUCGCACCCUCUCUUCCCCGCACUUUUCUGUUGCUCCGUCUCAUCCCCUCAGAUCGUCAGCUCUGUGGUCACAGGGGCCAUCUCUGGCCUGUCCCCAGUUCCCUCCCAGCACUGCAAACUGGACUCAGCCCGUGGUAGGUGGUCGAACAAGUUGUUAAAUGGGACACCACGUAGGGCAUUCCCUGGCAAUCCAGGGGUUACGACUCCAAGCUUUCACUGCUGAGGGCAGGGGUUCAUUCCCUGGUCAGAGAACUAAGAUCCUGCAAGCCGCAGAGCUAAAAAAAAAAAAAAAAAAAACAAAUAAAUAAACCAACAGCUCAGCAAAGCACUGCAACUACAAUUUUAAAAUCCAAUAUCUUCUUUCAUAGAAGUCACAAGUGGGUAAAACGGAUUCAAAGGUUUAAAAACGAGCCUGUAUAAUCUAUUGACCCACAGUGUAUUUCACCGUCUUUCUGUGAGUCUGAAACAUUACACUCCAGGAGAUUAGCACUGACUUUGCAUAUCAUUCUAACUAUUUGUGACUGGAAUAGCCGCUCCCAUUUCUUGAGCUCUCCGUGGCUGGCCCGAGGGCUUUGUCUGGGUCACCUGGCCUCCGCUAAGCCUCACAGUGAGCGUAGUCAUUGUCCUGAGUGAUUAAAUGCAGAAAACCCAGCACACUGGCAGCUGCCCAGCGUCACCCCGCAAGGCGCCAGGGAGCCGGGUCCACACGCCAGGCCUCCCCAGCACCUGCUCCUGAACCCCAAAGUGGCGAAGGGUCUCCACUCCUGGAACCAAAAGCUGGUGGUUAACACGCUGGUUUGGAUAGAUCAGAGAGCCGGAAGAAGGGAAAAUGCUGCGUGUCUAAAACACGCAGAUCCUGACUCAGCAUGGAACGCAACAACCUCAAAAGGCCGGCACACACACACACGCUCGCACACGCACACACAUGCAUACACUCGCAUGUACACGCUCGCACACGCUUGCACGCACAAGCCACUGCAGAAACGGGCGCAAGCACAGUCAGGGGCAGCAGGGCUGGCCGGAGGGUGGCUGCGGCGGACACAGCCUGAGUCUGAGCGGAAGGAGGGCAGGGUAUGGAAGGGCCGCCACCAGCCCUGAGCUCCUGAAACCCAGAGGCUGCGGGGUCCAGGCGACCCCAGAGAGGACACCCCGCUUCCGCCUCGCGUGGAAUGACUGCCCAGCUCCAGGCUGUUGUCAAUCUGCUGUCAGGGUGCCGGCCCGAGGUCAGGCCUUGGGCAGCGGCAGGGUCGGAGCCCUGAUCUGGACACCGAGUCUGGCCUGCGACGCCUCCAGCGGGGCCUUGGCUUCUGCUUCCCCUUGAUGGCGUGACGGCUCCGGGGAAGCAACACCGGGUGUGUGUGUGUGUGUAUGUGUGUGUGUGUGCCUGCCGGGGGACGUGACCUGAGCCCACAACCGCCCCACGAGGCCUCCUGAGUUCCCGCGGAGCCCCCUGAUCAGUAGGAGAGCUCAUCGCUGGGGCGGCACCGGGAUUUCGCUCUGAAUGGGGACCUCGGGGUCUCUCCACGUGUUGGGUGUGGUGCAGGCCGAGUGGAAGGGCUGGGGAGCUUUCUCUGCCCACGCAAGCAGCCCAGACCCUUCCUUGCCACACAGGCGUCCUCUGAGAGCCAGGGGGUUCCUCAGCCCAGGUCCCCCCAAAUCCCAGGGCUGCUGCGAGGUCUCGGGGCUUCUUACCAGCAGGGCCCUUAUUUUCCAGCCAGGGUCCAGCUACUCCUGCAAAC